rnacentral:lncRNA from 1 species
GACUCGGUGGGAUGAGCAAUGGCAGUGGCAGGGAGAAGAAAGGCGAUGCUGGGUAAAGAAUGCGAAGAGGAUAAUUUAUAUAAUUAAUCACAGCGCUCUGAUCAAUAGAGCGUCAGAGGCCAUUUUCGAUACUGAGUAGAAUGACUUCUCAGAUGUAAUGGACUGCUUGGAAAUCUAUCCUUCUGACUUAGUCCAUAAAGAAGCAGCCAGAACCACGGAGCUGGGGCAGGAGAGGGUGUCAGAGGUGAUUUGGUGCUGCUAAAGGCAGAGAAAGCCCUGAACAGCAAUUACAUAUCCCAAUUCAUCACUGAAGCAUGAUUGACAGGAGUUAAGAGGAUGCUGGAUGACUUUAAUUACCAGUUUCUAGACUGAGUUAAUUGAGAUCGAAAGACCCACCCUAAUCGUGAGCAGCAGUGUCUUACAGCCUGAGGUCCAGGAAAGAAUAAGAAGAAUAUGGGAAACUGAAGACCAGUAUUCACUGCUCAUUUAUUGACUUUAUUCAAUACCUUGUGUUCCUGACUCUUCACUACCCCAACCCAAUGGAAAGUACCUUCAAACUGUGAACACAAGUAAACUCCUUAAUUGCUUCCUGACAGGAAGCGACAAAUGGUGGCCCGUACUGGGAGAUGUUCAGAACUCAUCGCAGUCAGGGCAGCUAGCUGGUAAGGUUCUCAGGUAAGUGGGACAAUUUAAGUUCUCGGAUUGAGAUGAUAAGUUUCCCAGUUUUGGGACAAUUUAAGGUUCCCGGUUUUGGGACAAGUUGCACCAAACACCAUGGGAACUUGAGGUUUGCAGAAGAACAGGGGGUUUUACCAAAAGGGGUUUUGCCGGUCUGAAAGUUAGUGAGAAUUUGCAUAGAAGAUACUCCAGAGAGGUACUGAGGCACUGAAUCAGGUGAGAGAGGAGCGCUCUCAUUUGGUGUGGUCGAGAGGGUCUGUUUGUGUGUUUCUCCAGGAUCACAGACAACCGCUGUGGAUCCCAGAAUGGCUGACCAGAGCAAUUCAGAGCAAGCAGAACUAUGAGGACUUCGAUGUUCCUGUGGCUGGGAAUGCUCCCGCUAGUGAGAACUGAAGAGCUACAUUGAGGAAUUAUGUCUGUGUUCCCGAAACCCAUGCCAUUGAUUGACACAUUCAGCGCCAGUGUUUCCUUGAUUCUUUACAUCUAAUGCUUUGCUACAAUUGCCUUUUUUACCAUGGGAUGGAGAGAUAGCUCCAGUCAGGAAUCUAUGCAGCUUCAGCUAAAGGGAUUGUUGUGUUUUCAGAUGAUUCAAAAUAUUUCACAGAUGAGUGAUUGUGUUCAGCUGUAUCUAUUAAAGCUAAUGCUACCUGGAUUCGAGGGGUGUUGCCUGCCAGGAUAUCCAAGGGUGAUGGCACUAUAUGUUCCUAACCUAGAUGGGCCCCCUCUUUUUUAUAGGAGUGUUCCUGAUUCCCUUCCACCUUGGGAAGUGAAGAAUUAUUUUUCCUUUUCCCCUUAUAUAGGUACAGUCCAUAAUAGUUCCUUUUCAGGGUAUAAUUGGACAUAUCAAAAUCCAGCUCAAGUAGGAGCUAGUAAUCCUUUUAAUGUAUGGUUGUUAUGUGGGGUGAAUGGUAGUUGCACUGAUCUUUCCCUCUUAAGCAUGGUGGCAGGAGGGGCCUAGAGCAAUGCAAAUUUUUAUUGGAAUGGUUCUGAUAUGUUUGAAACUUCUGUAUUUCAAUUUGCUGGAGGAAGGAAUGUUUCUUUUCAGGCUACACCUGUGUGUAUGUGGCUUCCUUUUGUGUUUAUUGUUUAUAAUGGUAGUUAUGAGAAUAAUGUUGUUGUAGUAGUGAUAUUUGUUAUUAUAGUAUUGCUGGAAUGCAUCUGAAUAUCAUUUGGCUGUUGUGACUAGGAUGCCUUGCUUUGUACCUUUGCCUGUUCAAGUUACUUUGUUUACAAACUGCUGCGGCUGUGAAUAAUUUAUCCACGGGUGUUACACAAGCUGAGUCUUUGUGCAGUUGAGAUAAAUGCAUUUCC